rnacentral:rRNA from 1 species
GAUGAACGCUGGCGGCGUGCUUAACACAUGCAAGUCGAACGGUGAAAGAGGAGCUUGCUCCUCUGGAUCAGUGGCGAACGGGUGAGUAACACGUGAGUAACCUGCCCUUGACUCUGGGAUAAGCACUGGAAACGGUGUCUAAUACCGGAUACGACCUCCGAAGGCAUCUUCUGGAAGUGGAAAGAAUUUCGGUCAAGGAUGGACUCGCGGCCUAUCAGCUAGNGGUGAGGUAACGGCCCACCAAGGCGACGACGGGUAGCCGGCCUGAGAGGGUGACCGGCCACACUGGGACUGAGACACGGCCCAGACUCCUACGGGAGGCAGCAGUGGGGAAUAUUGCACAAUGGGCGCAAGCCUGAUGCAGCAACGCCGCGUGAGGGACGACGGCCUGGUUGUAAC